rnacentral:rRNA from 1 species
GACGAACGCUGGCGGCGUGCCUAAUACAUGCAAGUUGAGCGCUGAAGGUUGGUACUUGUACCAACUGGAUGAGCAGCGAACGGGUGAGUAACGCGUGGGUAAUCUGCCUUUGAGCGGGGGACAACAUUUGGAAACGAAUGCUAAUACCGCAUAAAAUCUUUAAACACAAGUUUUAAGUUUGAAAGAUGCAAUUGCAUCACUCAAAGAUGAUCCCGCGUUGUAUUAGCUAGUUGGUGAGGUAAAGGCUCACCAAGGCGAUGAUACAUAGCCGACCUGAGAGGGUGAUCGGCCACAUUGGGACUGAGAAACGGCCCAAACUCCUACGGGAGGGAGCAGUAGGGGAUCUUCGGCAAUGGACGAAAGUCUGACCGGGCCACGCCGCGGGAGGGAAGAAGGGUGUCGGAUCGUAAAACUCUGUUGGUAGAGAAGAACGUUGGUGAGAGUGGAAAGCUCAUCAAGUGACGGUAACUACCCAGAAAGGGACGGCUAACUACGUG